CAGCGCUGGUUUCUCCUAAGUCAUGCGUAAAUCUUUUGCCUUUUAUUGGAGAUUUCUGUGGAGAGGAACAUCAAUGAGCUUGAUGUAUUUUUCUGUGCUUAGUUCUGACAAAGCU